rnacentral:rRNA from 1 species
UACGGAGGGUCCAAGCGUUAUCCGGAAUCAUUGGGGUUAAAGGGUCCGUAGGCGGUUUUGUAAGUCAGUGGUGAAAGCCCAUCGCUCAACGGUGGAACGGCCAUUGAUACUGCAAGACUUGAAUUAUUGGGAAGUAACUAGAAUAUGUAGUGUAGCGGUGAAAUGCUUAGAGAUUACAUGGAAUACCAAUUGCGAAGGCAGGUUACUACCAAUAUAUUGACGCUGAUGGACGAAAGCGUGGGGAGCAAAACGG